AUACUUAUUUAGCAGGGGAGAUGUCUAGAUCACAAUGAUGGUUUUCCCAGAGAGAGACUUAUCAUUACAGUUCAGAUGUGCUGGCCUCGGUGAUUUUCCUAAAUAUGGGAAACUUGACUGUGUAAUUUGUGUUAGUGCUGGGUUGUAUUCCCGCUUUCCCCUG
ensembl:snRNA U1 U1 spliceosomal RNA